rnacentral:rRNA from 1 species
CUACGGGUCGCACCAGUGGGGAAUAUUGCACAAUGGGCGCAAGCCUGAUGCAGCCAUGCCGCGUGUAUGAAGAAGGCCUUCGGGCUGUAAAGUACUUUCAGCGGGGAGGAAGGGAGUAAAGUUAAUACCUUUGCUCAUUGACGUUACCCGCAGAAGAAGCACCGGCUAACUCCGUGCCAGCAGCCGCGGUAAUACGGAGGGUGCAAGCGUUAAUCGGAAUUACUGGGCGUAAAGCGCACGCAGGCGGUUUGUUAAGUCAGAUGUGAAAUCCCCGGGCUCAACCUGGGAACUGCAUCUGAUACUGGCAAGCUUGAGUCUCGUAGAGGGGGGUAGAAUUCCAGGUGUAGCGGUGAAAUGCGUAGAGAUCUGGAGGAAUACCGGUGGCGAAGGCGGCCCCCUGGACGAAGACUGACGCUCAGGUGCGAAAGCGUGGGGAGCAAACAGGAUUAGAUACCCUCGUAGUC